CAGGGAAUCUUGCGCAAUGGGCGAAAGCCUGACGCAGCAACACCGCGUGGGUGAUGAAGGCCUUCGGGUCGUAAAGCCCUUUUCUCAGGGAAGAAGCUCUGACGGUACCUGGGGAAUAAGCCACGGCUAAUUACGUGCCAGCAGCCGCGGUAAUACGUGAGUGGCAAGCGUUAUCCGGAUUUAUUGGGCGUAAAGGGCGUGUAGGCGGUCUUGCAAGUCUUUUGUGAAAUCUCCUGGCUUAACCAGGAGAGGCCAAAGGAAACUGCUGGACUUGAGGGCAGCAGAGGGAGGUGGAAUUCUCGGUGUAGCGGUGAAAUGCGCAGAUAUCGAGAGGAACACCAGUGGCGAAGGCGACCUCCUGGGCUGUUCCUGACGCUGAGGCGCGAAAGCGUGGGUAGCAAACAGG
rnacentral:rRNA from 1 species